rnacentral:rRNA from 1 species
CCUACGGGAGGCUGCAGUGGGGAAUAUUGCACAAUGGGCGAAAGCCUGAUGCAGCGACGCCGCGUGGGGAUGACGGCCUUCGGGUUGUAAACCUCUUUCAGUAGGGAAGCGGUACCUGCAGAAGAAGCGCCGGCUAACUACGUGCCAGCAGCCGCGGUAAUACGUAGGGCGCAAGCGUUGUCCGGAAUUAUUGGGCGUAAAGAGCUUGUAGGUGGCUUGUCGCGUCUGCCGUGAAAACCCGAGGCUCAACCUCGGGCGUGCGGUGGGUACGGGCAGGCUAGAGUGUGGUAGGGGAGACUGGAACUCCUGGUGUAGCGGUGAAAUGCGCAGAUAUCAGGAAGAACACCGAUGGCGAAGGCAGGUCUCUGGGCCAUACUGACCUGAGAAGCGAAAGCAUGGGUAGCGAACAGGAUUAGAUACCCUUGUAGUC